rnacentral:tRNA from 3 species
GCCGAAGUAGCUCAAUGGUGGAGCAGCUGUUUUGUAAACAGCAGGUUGUCGGUUCGAGUCCGACCUUCGGCUCCA